CUCAUGGAGGGUGGGUGGGGAGGCAAGCAGUGGGGAGGCUGAGAGCUUAGAGGGGAGUAUGGAGCAGAGGGUGGGGGGCAGAGGGAGCAGGACAGGGGACCAAGAACAGUCCAAGGGCCACCUCAGAUCCCCAAAUAUGAAUCAGAGGGGAGUCCACAGCCCCAGGCCAGGCCCCUGUUCUCAGUUCUGUCCCCUUUCCUGUGGCCUCAGAAACACGAUCCUGGCAGCCACUGAUUUCUCGUGCGCUCUCUCCACUCUGGUCUGCAAGUACAAGGGCCUC
rnacentral:lncRNA from 1 species